CAGUCGAACGGCAGCACGGGUGCUUGCACCUGGUGGCGAGUGGCGAACGGGUGAGUAAUACAUCGGAACAUGUCCUGUAGUGGGGGAUAGCCCGGCGAAAGCCGGAUUAAUACCGCAUACGAUCUACGGAUGAAAGCGGGGGACCUUCGGGCCUCGCGCUAUAGGGUUGGCCGAUGGCUGAUUAGCUAGUUGGUGGGGUAAAGGCCUACCAAGGCGACGAUCAGUAGCUGGUCUGAGAGGACGACCAGCCACACUGGGACUGAGACACGGCCCAGACUCCUACGGGAGGCAGCAGUGGGGAAUUUUGGACAAUGGGCGAAAGCCUGAUCCAGCAAUGCCGCGUGUGUGAAGAAGGCCUUCGGGUUGUAAA
rnacentral:rRNA from 1 species